rnacentral:rRNA from 1 species
UACGUAGGGUGCAAGCGUUAAUCGGAAUUACUGGGCGUAAAGCGUGCGCAGGCGGUUUUGUAAGUCUGUCGUGAAAUCCCCGGGCUCAACCUGGGAAUUGCGAUGGAGACUGCAAGGCUAGAAUCUGGCAGAGGGGGGUAGAAUUCCACGUGUAGCAGUGAAAUGCGUAGAGAUGUGGAGGAACACCGAUGGCGAAGGCAGCCCCCUGGGUCAAGAUUGACGCUCAUGCACGAAAGGCGUGGGGAGCAAACAGGAUUAACGAAACCCGUGG